UACAGAGACUGCAAGCGUUAUUCGGAUUCACUGGGCGUAAAGGGUGCGCAGGCGGCCAAGUGUGUUAGGUGUGAAAGCCCGGGGCUUAACCCCGGAAUUGCACCUAAAACUACAUGGCUAGAGCAUUGGAGAGGGGAGCAGAAUUCACGGUGUAGCAGUGAAAUGCGUAGAUAUCGUGAGGAAUACCAGAGGCGAAGGCGGCUCCCUGGACAAUUGCUGACGCUCAGGCACGAAAGCGUGGGGAGCAAACAGG
rnacentral:rRNA from 1 species